GACGAACGCUGGCGGCGUGCUUAACACAUGCAAGUCGAACGGAAAGGCCCUGCUUUUGUGGGGUGCUCGAGUGGCGAACGGGUGAGUAACACGUGAGUAACCUGCCCUUGACUUUGGGAUAACUUCAGGAAACUGGGGCUAAUACCGGAUAGGAGCUCCUGCUGCAUGGGGGGGGUUGGAAAGUUUCGGCGGUUGGGGAUGGACUCGCGGCUUAUCAGCUGUUUGGUGGGGUAGUGGCUUACCAAGGCUUUGACGGGUAGCCGGCCUGAGAGGGUGACCGGCCACAUUGGGACUGAGAUACGGCCCAGACUCCUACGGGAGGCAGCAGUGGGGAAUAUUGCACAAUGGGCGGAAGCCUGAUGCAGCAACGCCGCGUGCGGGAUGACGGCCUUCGGGUUGUAAACCGCUUUCGCCUGUGACGAAGCGUGAGUGACGGUAAUGGGUAAAGAAGCACCGGCUAACUACGUG
rnacentral:rRNA from 1 species